UUUUAUUCAGUGUAAAAGUCAGAUCUUACAAAAAUCACCAGAGAAACUUUCACAGCCAUGCAAAAACAAUUUGCAAUGCUUGUAAACAAAGAAGCCAUCCAUUACAACCGGUAUUAUGAUCCAAACAUUUGGCUUUAUUUACAAAGUCUAUCAAAGCUUGAUCACAGCACAAAUUUACCAUAUUAAAGAAAACUGGUAUACACUAUCAAAAAGAUGUACAAACUUUAAACUGCAAUCUAAUAAUGUACCUCAGUGUUAAUGUAUGGUCAAUGUUAAUAUCAAUAGAUUUAUAACUAACAGAUUUUUUUUUUUUAAAUUUGUAUUCAAAAUAAAUUUUGCACCAUAACCCUCUUAACUCACAAUUAUUUUCAGACAAUAGUAAUCCCAAUACAUGGUCAUUUUUAUCAAAUAUAUAUAUAUAUAUAUAUAGCACCACAAUAUAAUGGUUUAAUAUAUAGGGGAGAGUGGGCUAUCACAUACAAAAGACCCGUGUUAGUAUCCCAUUUAAAAAAAAAGUAAGAAAGAAAAGGAAAAACAGAUCUUCUUUUCCAGCCUGCUCCUCAUCACUGUCCACAUCUGACAGAAGAAACUACAACCACAACUGAGGCCUUUCUGUGGAAGCGCAUUACUGCCAGGAGAAGAAAAGGUGGAAAAGUCAAAAUUAUGAGAUGUGGAAACAGGCUUCCAUAACUUCCUGUUCACAGUGGAAGAGGAAGAACACAGACUGAAGACCCAACCAACAUGAACAGCCACAACAAAUAAAACAAGCCCACCACGACAUUGACACAAUGUGCUCUGUUCUAUAUGCAUUCACUUGAUCAGUACACCCACUCCCAAACCAAACCAAACCAAAGUUGCUUCCAUCUCAAGCUACUGAUGAUCAGACACUGAAUGCAGAUACCCAUGGCUGGAGGUCAGACUUGUUCCAUAUUUACAUUUAGGAAUUAAGGUGAAACACAAAAGUUCAAUAUCUAAAAGUGAGAAACAGAAAAA